rnacentral:rRNA from 1 species
UACAGAGGUGCCGAGCGUUAGGCGGAAUCACUGGGCUUAAAGCGUGUGUAGGCGGACUUCUAAGUACCUUGUGAAAUCCCACGGCUCACCCGUGGAACUGCUGGGUAUACUGGUCGUCUUGAGCCACCUAGGGGCGAGCGGAACAAAUGGUGGAGCGGUGAAAUGCGUAGAUAUCGUUUGGAACGCCAAUGGUGAAAACAACUUGCUGGGGGUGUGCUGACGCUGAGACACGAAAGCCAGGGGAGCAAACGGG